GGAAGCAGGCGCCCAGGCGCCCUUCUCUCCCUUAAACCAUGUGGUCCUAUGCCAUGCCUCGGGGGGGUCAAGCGGCCUAGGUCGUGGGGUCCUUUGCGGCCCGCCCCCCCGCGUCUGUCGUGCCUCGGGCGAGCCCGCUCGUCGGGGCCGGCAUGCUUCGGUCUUGGAGUGAUGAUUGUGUCUGAUCAGUCCAGUGGACAGAAUUAUUA
rnacentral:misc_RNA from 1 species